CCCAUAGGGCGAGCCGCGAAGGGAGGAGAACGCUGGGUAGGUUGCGAGCCCUUGUCUGUCACGAGGAGGGGGGGAAUGGGUCCUUCAGGAUCGGCGGCGGCGGGAGUUGCGGGUGUCUAUCAGCUGCCGGGUGCGAUUUUGGGAAAUAAAUAAAAUUCCUACACGCUGCAAAGCGGCACUAGAGGUUUUGCAGCUGUGAUCGUGUUGUAGGAAGGAAUGUGUGAUUUGUCCAGGCAGCUAAAGGUGCUCUGGCCCCGUAGGCACAGUCCAAAGCACCAGGCAGUCUCCUGCCUCUCUCUCUCCCCGUCACAUAGGGAGGGAAGUAUCCGAGCAGGCGGGUGCCAGGGAGCUUUUUUUUUUAACCUAACCCUGUGUAGACCUUGAAUUCUAUAUUUAUUAAAAAAUAAACUGAACGGUUGUGAAUAAUUCAAAUAAAAAUACAAGGGGCGUGGGGGUUGGGAGAAGAAAGGAAAGCUGGGGGAAAUGGGUCACGGCAAGGUGGCCAGAAAAAAUCUGGAUUUGUUGGUACAUCUCUGCAUGGUUAUCAGCAUAGCUGUCAACUUUCAGAUUUGAAAACAAGGGAUCAGCAGCCUCACCUGUCCCGGGGACAGGCUACAGGAUAUCUAACAAUCCGGGAUAGCAGCGGGAAGCAGAGGGAAACGGCGCUGGAAUAGGGGAAUUUCCCUCAAAAAAAGGGAAGGUUGACAGGGUUCUCAGUAGAAGUGGCUAUGAUUUCUGACUCCCAAUUGUUUCACAAGAGCAGCAACGAAACGCCCUAAAUUAUACCGCUGGAGUGAGAGCUUUGGAAACGGGGAGUGGGAUUUUAUUGAAUCCUGGUGAACUGGCAUUGCAGCGAGAGAGAAAGAGUGCAGAAGGAGGCUGCAGUUGGAGCCAUCCUCCCCUAGUCUCAGUCUGAGCAGGACUGACCCUACCACUGGAGUUUAGGCAAAGUGAGGCAGUGUUAUGAAAGAGCAGCCAGUUUGGGAGGAGAGGGGCUGGUGGUAGAUUGCCAUAUUUUGAAGAGCAAAAAAAUGACACAUUUGCCGACUUCUACUUUUAACUAUUGAUUGCUAUGACGACUCUACCCAUGAAAAAGAGUGUGUGUCCUGGAAAAAGAGGAUAUGGCAACCCUACUAGGAUGUUCUGCUUCAGGUGUCAAAAUAACUUAAUUGUCCUCAGGCACCAGGCACUUUGGUUUGAUGUGGGGGCAGAGGCACCAUUUUCUCAUCUGCCUCAGGGAGCAAAAUGUCAUGGGCCAGCCCUGAGUCUGAGAGUCCUGACCCAAAAAUGAUUGUUUUAAACCUCAUGCCAAUUUGGCCUCAUUGGGCUGUAAUACGUGGCUGGUGGACUGCAGCUAUUACAUGUUAGGCAAACCAGACUGACAGAAAUGCUAGUCAAUCCAAGUGUAUUGUGUAUUUGCAACCUAUCUGUUUGGCUAUUCACGAUUUCAGUUCUCUGCUAACCUUAAGUCUUAUUCAUAGAGGCUGAUGUUUCUGCUUUUUUCCAUUUGCUAAAUUACACAUUCUUUCUGGAUCCCAGGACCUCUUGAACCAUGUCCUAUUUUUGGCUUCCUUUGCAGCUUCCAUUUUUGAUUGAGAUUUUAUGUGCUCUUGGUUUGCAUCCCUAAAUAGCUCCUAUGUGGAAUUUUAAAGUUUUUAAUUUCCUCUCCUUACCUUUUGUCUCCACCAUCUCAUUUCCUCACCACCACCCCCAUAUGUCAUCAUAGCAGAAAGGCUGUUAAUAUAUUUUUUUCAUUGUUCAGCAAUCUGUUGUUGUCUUUUGUGUGAAAUGUACCACGCUGGUCCAUAUUUAUAGUUUUCUUUUCAGCUAUGCCAUCUUUAUUAAAUACUUUUGAAAUCGUUUAUUUUUCUGAGGAAAAUGUUUCUUUGAUCUCAGUCAACCCUUCCUCCCUUUCUUCAGUAUUUUCACUCUGCUGUAAAAACAACAACAAAAAAACCCCACACAUUUAUCUAUGGUUCUGUUCAUUCUCCUAUUUACUGUGCACUUACCACAUUUCCUAUGCUAGAUUUUUAGUCUGUGUCACACAUUAUCUGAAAUGCAUGUGUGUCCUGGAAUUGGUUAUAAAAUCCUACUGUUUGAAGUGUUUUUUCUUAAACCAGCUUCAUACCAGCUAGAGUCCUUAAGGCAUUGCUAAUCCAUCUCUAGCUAUGCAAAUACUUAUAGACAUCCCUGUUACAUCAAGGCUGCUGGUGUGCACACAAACAGAAAUGAAGCUGACACUAAUGAAGCCAUGCUGAUGCAUGGUGAAAGAGCUGGGAAACACUGGAAAAACAACAGCUUCACCACACUUCAAAGUGGUAAUGUGAACACACACUCUGUGUUUGAAGUCCACCAGAGUUUUCUGGUUCUGUUCAGAGCAGAUUGGCACAUUUCCUGAUACGCUAUGAGUAUGCUGCCACAGCAACCACAAUAGUUUGGAGUGUGGAUUCACUGGUUCAGAUAUAGCCACCUGUGUGAAGCUCUUAAACGUGUUGCAGCUACAUGUGCUUGCAGAUCAUGUGUGCUGGUUGAGUAAAUAUACAACUCAUGUUGAACUAACCUGUAGAAUUGGGAUGGUGCAGAGAUAGCACUGGAGAGGCGAAAGCAGAAGAUGCUGGCCCAAACUUUGCAAUGAACAUUCAACAUCCAGAGUCAUAAAUGGUUCUGUAUCAGUGCCAUGUGGAUAUUUCUCUGAUGCUUCCUAUGCCUGCUAGUUCAUGGGCAAGAGCAAACCUUGGAGGUAACACAGAGCUGCACCUCUUUAUAGUUGCCAAUAGCUGUCAGGUUGGGUGUGAAGGGUGGCAGGAAGAUUAGGGCAGGGUAUAUAAAUCCAGGAGCCACCUGUUGGUGGCUGCUUGAAUUUCCAUCGCUCAAAAAAUAGAAGACAUUACAAGAUUUACAGUCGUCCUUGUGGUGUAGUAAAGUCUGGAAUCUGGUGAUAGGUGAGAAAACAACACACAAUUGAAAAGUCUCAAAAGGAUCUGAAGAACAUUUCUACACCAAUUAGUGGGAAUUUAUCACUUUUGCAACUGCAAAUGAUCUGCAAAGUUAUUGGUACUAGUGUGUUAAUUUUGGACCUCAUAACUGCGUUAUAUAAAAAUUGUUCUCUGUUGAUCUUAUUCCGUUGUUAAUAUUAGAUGAGUCCCUUGUAAGGUGACAGUGAAAAAAAGUAUUCUUAGAUGUAUAUCCCAUAAUUGCAAUUGUUAAAUCCUUUCCCUUUUUGUUACAGAAUUCAAUAAAGCAUUUAAAAAACAAAACAUCCAGGAGUCACCAGCAAAUUAAAAAUGGGACUUGAGGUCUGGCACCUGGAUUGGUGAAGAGGAUAGGAAGGGUAUUCUUUUGCCUCCUCAGUAGCUGCCCUAUUACACCAGGUAAAAUUAUUUGCCCCUUUAGCCUGGCAUUAUUUACUCUGAAUAGCAGCAGCCCUCCAGGGCCUAUUUUCCCCAUCUGAUCCUUUAAAAUAGACAUACCAGGGAUUUGAACCUCUAACCUCCUGCUCUCAAAGUAUGCACACUAACAUUAGCCGUCUGUCACGCACCCCACCCUGGCAACAUGCUGCUGUGUGUAGGUUCUGGCUACUUCACUUUCUUCAAGGAUGCCAAGCGUUCCCCUGUUUCUCUUUUCUUCUCACUUCCAUAUAUAAUUUCCUUCUAGAAAGAAAAGUGAUUUCUCUAGCUUUUGCAAGUGUUGCAUGGAAUGUGCAAGUGCCAAUCAGUGUGUGUGUGUGUGUGUGUGUGUGUGUGUGUGUAGCGGGGCGGGGGGAGUAGAAACUGUGACAACACUAACGGGGCCAUCUUAAUGUUUUGCCAUCAGAAGCAACAAGGUCUUUAACAGUGUGACACUUCAGUUCUCUCUAGCUCAAGUACCUGCAACUGCAUUUGCUUAAAUUCAUCCCUCUCCUUGUUGCCUUCCUUGCUGUCAAAUAUAUAUGUAAGCUCCUUGGGGUCAGCGACCUGUAUUAUUAUUAUUAUUAUUAUUAUUAUUAUUAUUAUUAUUAUUAUUAAGAACUGUAAUGCACAUCAAUAGUGCCUUAUGAAAUAAUCUCCUGCACCCAUUAUUAUUAUUAUUAUUCAUGAAGUCUGCCAUUUUACACAAUACCCUCAGCAUCCUAAAGAGAAUCAAAUACAAACACCAAAGUUUAUUGUCAACCAUCAAAUAUACAAAAAAAAUACAUAUGACACAUACAUGUGUGAGCACAUGUCAAAUCCUGUUUAACAACUGUACAAAAGAAGGAGGGGGGAGCGAGAAGGAGAGUGAGAAAGUGACCGGUGGUCUAAUUAUGCCCCCAGGCUUGAUGCCUAAGAUCACUAAGAUCACAGUGUUUACAACUUGAACAUCAUUGCUUCCAUCCCCUCACCGACUCCUGUGUAGUCUCCUCCCUCGGAGGGGUUUGGGUCCCCUUAGCAACAGGACAAUUUGAUAGCAGCUUUAUAUGUUAUAGUUUUAGUGGGUAUAUCUUGCAAGACUGGUGUGUACUGACAUGACACUAACAACUCCACAUACACUGUGGAGAGCUAGUGUAUGUGGCUCCAAAUAAUGUGAUAAUGGGAUGAAAUUGGGGGUUGCAAUGGAUUACCUCAGGGUCCCUUCAGGCCCUGUGAUGCUUGCUUGUAAGAGUGAGGUAUGCCAAACUGGUUGGACUAGCAUGGCUGCUGGUAAUGACUCUGGUAAUGUAGUCAAGAACCCUUAAUGGAGAACCUUGUUAGGGAGAUAGCUCUGUGUAGCUGGAGUCUUCCGGAAGAAAGAGCCAUUCGUGAAGCAGGUCUUGCUUUCUCCCAUGUGGUAAUUCUGUACCUUUGAGGAAUAUAAACAGUCCUAACUGUGACUCAGCUAUACAGCUGCAAAUGAAAUGUUUGAAGUGUGUUUUAAGUGCGAUAUACACUAGAUGGCGAUGGUGAGCCUUAUGGAAAAUUCAAUGUAUUUUUUAAAACGCUUUUUUAAAGAGCAUUUUCAGAACGUGUUUUUUUUUAUAUGUGUGUAGAUUCCACCCCAGUCAGAACACAGAGGGCUGAGCUGCUCUCCAGAAAAUCCCAGUGGUGUUGGCAGUUUCUCUGGAAAUCUGAUGGGGAGCAGCAAACUCUGGAGAUCUGUUGACGGGUUCAGUUCUGUGAAUCUCCGCCUAUGCUCCAUCUGAAUAUAUGUGUAAAUAAAACAUAUAUCACAAACUACCAAUAAGUCUCUAGUGGCCUCUUUCUGAAGGAAACAAAACCCAGCAAUGCUUCACCCCUGGAUUUCUCGCCAUUUGGAGAAUAGUAGGUUUCUGUGGCUUAUACUGUAUCUACCCUACAUGUAACAGGAGGCAAGUGGUUACAUGCUAGAUGUUGUUAGCUCAGUUGGUUAGAGUGUGGUGCUGAUAACACGAAGGUAGCAGGUUUGAUCCCUGUAGGUAGGGGACAGCUACAUAUUCCUGAAUUGCAAGGCGUUAGACUAGUAGAUUCUCAGGGUCCCUUCCAGCUCUAUGAACUUCUGGAGGAGCACCACCACAUUGGCUAUUCUUGCUCUGGAUCUACUUUGCCCAUUAAAAGUGCAACAUAUAAAGCCGUCCUUAAAGGAGGAGCCAGAAAUCUAUGAAACGACUUUGUCCGCUCUGCCUUCCCUCACCCCUUUUGUUCAGAGAGAGAGAGAGAAAAGAGAUAGAUCCAACGUGUUGUAUCACCAGUCAUGGCAAGUGGUAAGUUUAAGGUGAGGGAGGAAGCAAAAUACGACACAAGCAAUCACAAGAUCCCCAAAGGAAAGCAAAAUAACUCACAGGUGCAGUUAUCAGUGGGUUCACAGGUUUCAAAACCAUUGUAAUAUAUCAGGCACUCAAAAGGCAUACAGACUUCCCCAGCUCCUACAUUUCUGACCCGCGGCUAACCAGCCACCCUUCCAAUCUCUUCCCAACGUCUUCUUUUCCACUAGAGUAGUGAAGACUCUCUCAUCAGCUGCUCCAAGAGUUAUCGUAAGUCCCUCCCCCUAAGUGGCACAUUGAGAAUGCGGGGUGGGGUGGGUGGCGGGGAUCAGAACAGGAAAAAAGAACACAGCUAGAUUAACUGCACGGACAUGGCCUCCCACCUCAGAAUAUGGCCUCUUCAAGGCUGACACACACACAGCAUUUUCUUUUACAGGGUUCACACAAGGGGUGAAGGGUUAUCACAGACACAGCCAGCAACAAGUCACAUGGUCACCAGAGGAGCUUGAAAAAGAACCACGGCAGUCCAUGGGAAUUCCAGUUUGACGGCUGUCAACUAACCACUUAAAAAAAACACCCAGUCCUAGCCUGGGUAGCUUUUAAAAACAGUUUUAAGUCUAGUUUCCAGAAAAGCAAAUUGCAAGGCUGCUUCCGCCUGCUCUGCUGCUGCUAGUAGCAUUUCUUCUCAUGAAGCUGUGCAUCUUAAAUGAUUCGAUGCCUUCUGUGCUUAGCACUAUCCCUAGGGCCAGCAAAAACCACUGGCUAAGUGCAGGCAACCCUACAAAAUUCACGUUACAUUUAUCUUUGAAUGUGUGCUGGGAGAACAAUUCAACCAGGCCUUUGGCAGAUUAACAGUCAAUGUCCUUUUAAAUGUGUUUGAAGGAGAGGGGUUAUUGGUUUGUUUUGCA